CUGUCACAUCAUGGUCCCAGGUGUCACUGGUAAGGAGGCAAGGCAGGAGAGGGCUCUGCUAACUGCAAAGCCUACACUCUCCAAUUGGCCACAUAGCCUCCUACAUUGUUCUCCUUACCUAGAGUCUAUAAGCAUCAUGCUUAAUGGAUGCACUGGAGGUAGAGCUGGUAAUUUCUAGCAACUUUGAGGAAGGACAUAAAGAGUUACUAUAAGCUGGGUGACUUUAGGAUCAAACUAAAUUUAAAUUGCAUGCUAUCAUUUAUUCUAGAACUUGGAGAAAGUGUAUUUCACAGAGCUGUUAGUCCUUAUUAAAAACAGCUAGGCAAAAAUGAAACCUCACUCCUUCACUCUGCCACCUGUCAUCUUUCCCCCACACAUACGUUAUCUAUUUAGCCUAAAUCUAAGGUGGUUUUAAAAGCCAGUCACUACUUUCUUGAACAAAGUGUUUAAAAUCAUGGGUUGCAAUAAAAGGUAAUAAAACACAAUAGAAAACAUCGAGCACAUGGAGUAAAGGUAUUAUAUAUAUCCUAGACAUUAUAAAAUAGAUGUCAAUAUGAGAGACGUUUUUUUAAAAAGAGACCAAACACUGUUGAAGGGUAAAUGGCACGAAGGACGACAAGAGCAAGGGCUCUAACUCCAGGAUACUGAUGGACUCAUUAAUUGACUUGAGCCUUGGUCUCGGCCAGUGUGUGAAAGGAGCUCUUACAAAGAAGUAAUUCUCGCCUGGGAGGUGUUUUUAUACCAAAACUCUAUACUGUUUCCCUCAAAAAAAGUUUAUUUUAGAGUGAGAACAUGUCACUGCUAUUUUUAAAUCCUUGUGCAUUCAAGGUUUAAGUAGUCUUGGUACAGGAUACAGUCAAAUCAUGAUACACUUCAGUGAUUUUAUACUGAGUCACAUACUUAAUAUAAAGGCACAUUUUACUGAAUAAAAAAAUAAGUGUUAAAUCUUGAGCUUUUAAAUUAGAAUUUCAUAAAGUGCUUUUCAUAAAGUCUCAUAUAUUAUGGUAAUUAAGUGGAUAUAAUUUCCUUUACAAAGGCACCUUGAAAAGUAUUGGCACAUGGCAUUUCGUCUUGCUCCCUUUUUUUUUUUUUUUUUUUUGUAAUUUGGAAGUUUCUUCACGUCUUCUCUUCCACUUCAUUUAGGUUUUUCUUAACAAUUCAUCAUCUGAAUAGACAGCCCUGUUAUAGACUAAGGUGAACUUUAACUGGUCACUUUAAAGGUCAAGUUUUAGGCAGUUUUAGGAGUUUAGCAAUUUCCCUGGUGUAUAAACUGAUUCUUAAUGAU